rnacentral:rRNA from 1 species
UACAGAGGGUGCAAGCGUUGUUCGGAAUCAUUGGGCGUAAAGGGCGUGUAGGCGGUUUGCUAAGUCAUGUGUGAAAGCCCUCGGCUUAACCGAGGAACGACGCAUGAAACUGGCAAGCUAGAGUACCAAAGAGGGGGGUGGAAUUCCCGGUGUAAGCGGUGAAAUGCGUAGAUAUCGGAAGGAACAUCAGUGGCGAAAGCGACUUCCUGGACCAGUACCGACGUCAGGCACGAAAGCGUGGGGAGCAAACAGG